rnacentral:lncRNA from 1 species
GGCCAUAUUCUGAAUCUGUUUUGAGGCUAGAGCCAACAGAAUCACAGCCAGACCAGAUAUAGGAUGUAAGGGAAGUAACAGGGACAACAUCAGAUUUUUUGGUCUGAACAAUGAAAGAUGAAGCUUCCAUCUGCAAUGAAGAGAAGGACUGGAGAAGGAGCCGGUUUGGGAAGGAUCAUCAGGAUCUCAGGUUUGGACAGGCUUGAACAUCCGAGUGAGAUUUGAGGACCCCUCAGCUUCCCCUAAGGGUAAAAGGAGCUAUUCAGGAAGAAGUGGUGGAAGAUACUCCAGGAAGAGGGAACAGCAUGUGCAAAGGCAGGAAGCUGGGACAGAGCAUGGGACUGGAAUGGUAAGUGCCCAUGGAACAGCAAGGGGGCAUGGUGAGGCUCCAGGUGAUAGGGAGCGCAAGGAGGCAGGAGACAGAUCUCAGAGGCAGUGCUGGCUUGUGUGGAUUUUGUCCUCAGGACUACUGAAAGACUGUUCUCAUGUGAAUGUCAUGAUCAAGUUCGCUAUAUUAACAAUCAGAAGAUUAGCAUGGAC